rnacentral:lncRNA from 1 species
AUGAUGCAUGCAAUAUAUUUUUUUCUUAUUUUUAAAUUUAUUUUCUAUUCUUGAAAUAUAAUGGAGCAAUGUUAUAAAUUAUAAUAAAAAGAACACCUCAAUAGAUAAUUUUUUGUUGAAAUAAAUUUUAUUGGUGACGGUUGCGGCCAAUCCCCUCGUCGUCCGAUCGUCGGGGUCGCGCACCUGCAAAAAAAGUCCUCAC